ACCGUGCAAAGGUAGCAUAAUAAUUAGUUUUUUAAUUGAAAGCUGGAAUGAAUGAUUGGACGAGAAAAUAACUGUCUCAAUUUAAUUUUUUUAAAAUUUUAUUUUUAAGUAAGAAAGCUUAAAUAUUAUUAAAAGACGAGAAGACCCUAUAGAGUUUUAUAAUUAACUCGAUAUUAAUUUUUGAGAAUUAUUUUAUUAAUAUUGAGUUAAUUAUUUUGUUGGGGCGAUAGAGAAAUAUUAUUAACUUUUUUUAUUAUUAGUUCAUUAAUUUAUGAAUAAAUGAUCCAUUUUUUAUGAUUAUAAGAAUAAGUUACCUUAGGGAUAACAGCGUUAUUUUUUUUUAGAGUUCUUAUCGAAAAAAAAGAUU
rnacentral:rRNA from 1 species